AGCGAACGCUGGCGGCAGGCCUAACACAUGCAAGUCGAACGAACCUUUCGGGGUUAGUGGCGGACGGGUGAGUAACGCGUGGGAACGUGCCUUUAGGUUCGGAAUAACUCAGGGAAACUUGUGCUAAUACCGAAUGUGCCCUUCGGGGGAAAGAUUAAUCGCCUUUAGAGCGGCCCGCGUCUGAUUAGCUAGUUGGUUGAGGUAAUGGCUCACCAAGGCGACGAUCAGUAGCUGGUCUGAGAGGAUGAUCAGCCACAUUGGGACUGAGACACGGCCCAAACUCCUACGGGAGGCAGCAGUGGGGAAUCUUGCGCAAUGGGCGAAAGCCUGACGCAGCCAUGCCGCGUGAAUGAUGAAGGUCUUAGGAUUGUAAAAUUCUUUCACCGGGGACGAUAAUGACGGUACCCGGAGAAGAAGCCCCGGCUAAUUUCGUG
rnacentral:rRNA from 1 species